rnacentral:rRNA from 1 species
GAUGAACGCUAGCGGGAGGCUUAACACAUGCAAGUCGAGGGGCAGCAUAGGGUAGCAAUACUCUGAUGGCGACCGGCAAACGGGUGAGUAACGCGUAUGCAACCUACCCUGUACAGGGGGAUAACCCGGAGAAAUUCGGACUAAUAUCCCGUAAUAAUAUCCGGAGGCAUCUUUGGAUAUUUAAAGUUCCGACGGUACGGGAUGGGCAUGCGUAACAUUAACUGGUUGGUAAGGUAACGGCUUACCAAGGCUAUGAUGUUUAGGGGUCCUGAGAGGGUGGUCCCCCACACUGGUACUGAGACACGGACCAGACUCCUACGGGAGGCAGCAGUGAGGAAUAUUGGUCAAUGGGCGCAAGCCUGAACCAGCCAUCCCGCGUGCAGGAAGACGGCCCUAUGGGUUGUAAAACUGCUUUUUCCAGGGAGAGAAACUUACGCACGUGUUGCGUGACUGACGGUACCCUGGGAAUAAGCAUCGGCUAACUCCGUGCCAGCAGCCGCGGUAAAACGUCUA